GUUUAGUUUGGUCCCUAGGUAAUGAUGAAGACCACGCAGACACCAUGUUGGUUAAAAAAUAGGAAGGAGGUUCAGUGAUACCACGUGAAAGCUAUAUUUUGGUGGGCAGCGAUUUUUUUUUUGUCAUUCCCACGCUAGCAACGCGUGUUUUAUUUCGGCCCGCGCUGUUGGGUCCACUAGGCAGUGACUAUGGGCCAAAGGAGUUUGACGCUAGUGGACAAAAAGUUUCACCAAGUCUAGGUCUUCCAUCUCCGGCCAUCUCACUUUCCCCAUCUCUCCAGAUCCAGCGCCGCCACCGCCGCGCUCCUCUUUCUCUUCCCCCCUUUCGUCACAAAUCAAGCACCGCCAUUUGUGAUUCCGCUGCAUGCCAACCUCCUCUCUGAAGGUCGUCGCCCCUCGCCCCUACCCCUUCCUCGCGCACAGAAAGAUCUUGGCGCCGGCACACUAUAGCCGCGGCAAGGUGAGCCCAUGCGGCGAUGGGACAAGAGGAAGCAUGUGGCUACUCGGUUCCAUGGUGUAUAGGGAGACUGAGCGACAGUGGUGAGCAGGGACUUGGACUAGCACCGGCGAGCAGGGAACAACAGCGGUGGCACCUGUAAGCACCAUCCUCCAUUGACAAGCCUCCCUCUAUUGAAGGGAAGCCCCAUGGAUAAUUUGCUCUUUUCAAUGGGUCUAAUAGUGUGUUAUUACCGGCAAGACAUCAUUGCACCGUCCUCAUCCAAGAACUCCAUAUUCAAUCUCAUGUCAUAUUUUGGAAACUAAUCAAGAACCGCCAGCUUUGUGUGCGCAGCAACACUCAGAUGGGCUAUGUGUAGUGUGGGGAGCGAUUAAAGCCUCUUGUCUUAUGUCCAUAUUGCCCAAAUUACAUUCAUUAUGCUGCCUAUCAGAAUAUUCAAGUCUUUGAACUAAGUGCUAAACUACCUGCCAUCACUAAUUUUCAUGAUCACAAUCUCACUUUGGAUGCUUCUCCCCAUGAUUUGGAGCUUGACGCUGCAAAGAUGUUUUUUUAUCCAGUGCAUCUCAAACUUAACUCACUCGCUUGUACCUCUAUGGCAGCCAACCUCUUGAUCCUUACUUUUCUGGGUCUUGAAGUCUAUUGAGCAUACAUAACAUGUUGUUGCAAGUUAUUUGCAGUAGCAGAUACUUAGCCGGACCAACGAUGCUUGUACAUGCUGAUUUAGGUAUUCUGCUAGCUGUAGAAAUUUUAGAUAUAGUGUAUUUUCUAAAUUCUGGCUUGAAAUCGACCAUGAGUCUGAUGUAUGUUAAA